rnacentral:rRNA from 1 species
AUAUUGGCCAGAGACCGAUAGCGCACAAGUAGAGUGAUCGAAAGAUGAAAAGCACUUUGGAGAGAGAGUUAAAAAGCACGUGAAAUUGUUAAAAGGGAAGGGAUUGCAACCAGACUUGCUCGCGGUGUUCCGCCGGUCUUCUGACCGGUCUACUCGCCGCGUUGCAGGCCAGCAUCGUCUGGUGCCGCUGGAUAAGACUUGAGGAAUGUAGCUCCCUCGGGAGUGUUAUAGCCUCUUGUGAUGCAGCGAGCGCCGGGCGAGGUCCGCGCUUCGGCUAGGAUGCUGGCGUAAUGGUCGUAAUCCGCCCGUCUUGAAACACGGACC